rnacentral:rRNA from 1 species
UACGUAGGUGACCAGCGUUGUCCGGAUUUACUGGGCGUAAAGGGCGCGUAGGCGGCCUUCUAAGUCGAACGUGAAAUCCCCGGGCUCAACCCGGGAACUGCGUCCGAUACUGGAAGGCUUGAAUCCGGGAGAGGGAUGCGGAAUUCCAGGUGUAGCGGUGAAAUGCGUAGAUAUCUGGAGGAACACCGGUGGCGAAGGCGGCAUCCUGGACCGGCAUUGACGCUGAGGCGCGAAAGCCAGGGGAGCAAAGCGGG